CACGUCGGGACCAAGCGUUGUCCGGAUUUAUUGGGCGUAAAGAGCUCGUAGGCGGUUCGGUAAGUCGGGUGUGAAAACUCUGGGCUCAACUCGGAGAGGCACCCGAUACUGCCGUGACUCGAGUCCGGUAGGGGAGCACGGAAUUCCUGGUGUAGCGGUGAAAUGCGCAGAUAUCAGGAGGAACACCGGUGGCGAAGGCGGUGCUCUGGGCCGGUACUGACGCUGAGGAGCGACAGCGUGGGUAGCAAACAGG
rnacentral:rRNA from 1 species